GGGCGGCUACACAUGCAGUCGAGCGGUAACAGAUCUAGCUUGCUAGAUGCUGACGAGCGGCGGACGGGUGAGUAAUGCAUAGGAAUCUGCCCGGUAGUGGGGGAUAACCUGGGGAAACCCAGGCUAAUACCGCAUACGUCCUACGGGAGAAAGGGGGCUCCGGCUCCCGCUAUUGGAUGAGCCUAUGUCGGAUUAGCUGGUUGGUGAGGUAAUGGCUCACCAAGGCGACGAUCCGUAGCUGGUCUGAGAGGAUGAUCAGCCACAUCGGGACUGAGACACGGCCCGAACUCCUACGGGAGGCAGCAGUGGGGAAUAUUGGACAAUGGGGGCAACCCUGAUCCAGCCAUGCCGCGUGUGUGAAGAAGGCCCUCGGGUUGUAAAGCACUUUCAGCGAGGAAGAACGCCUGGUGGUUAAUACCCAUCAGGAAAGACAUCACUCGCAGAAGAAGCACCGGCUAACUCCGUGCCAGCAGCCGCGGUAAUACGGAGGGUGCAAGCGUUAAUCGGAAUUACUGGGCGUAAAGCGCGCGUAGGUGGCUUGAUAAGCCGGUUGUGAAAGCCCCGGGCUCAACCUGGGAACGGCAUCCGGAACUGUCAAGCUAGAGUA
rnacentral:rRNA from 1 species